rnacentral:lncRNA from 1 species
GUCAGGCUCCAGUGUGACUCAGCACAGUGUUCACAGCCCAUGCUCUCAAGAAUCUCAGCUUAGGAGGAGGCAAAGAGCCGCUCUACAGUAAGGUAAAUAAGUCAUUUAGUCAGGAACUCUGCACAUUUACCUCUGCAUUUAUCAAAUAUUUGUUGAAGGAAAUAAUAAAAGAAGUGAGGAGGAAGAAGAGGUUUCCUGGGAGAAAGCACUCGAGGAGCAAUAGGUGUCCUCUUUCAUUUCCACUAAAUAUGCUGCUCAAUGCCUUGUGGCAUAACAGAAUCAAAACUUUUCAGAUGCCCUGCCGCUUUAACAAGACCCAGGAUAUGUCAAAAUGGCUCCCACAGAACUUUCAUUUGAUCUUAUCUUUCGCUGUCACACACAUCGACCUGCAUUUUCUUUUUUCUUUUUGAUUCUUUAUGUCUGCAAAUGAACUGAUGUAAUUAAAAAGGUGAAGAAAUAA